rnacentral:rRNA from 1 species
GAUGAACGCUAGCGGCAGGCUUAAUACAUGCAAGUCGAGGGCAGCAUGACUGUAGCAAUACAGGUUGAUGGCGACCGGCAAACGGGUGCGGAACACGUACAGAACCUUCCUUCGAGCGGGGAAUAGCCCAGAGAAAUUUGGAUUAAUACCCCAUAGUACAACGGAGUGGCAUCACUUUGUUGUUAAAGAUUUAUCACUUGAAGAUGGCUGUGCGGCUGAUUAGGUAGUUGGCGGGGUAACGGCCCACCAAGCCUGCGAUCAGUAACUGGUGUGAGAGCACGACCAGUCACACGGGCACUGAGACACGGGCCCGACUCCUACGGGAGGCAGCAGUAAGGAAUAUUGGUCAAUGGACGAAAGUCUGAACCAGCCAUGCCGCGUGGAGGAUGAAGGUCCUCUGGAUUGUAAACUUCUUUUAUAUGGGACGAAAAAAGGGUUUUCUAACUCGUCUGACGGUACCAUAUGAAUAAGCACCGGCUAACUCCGUG